AUAUUCGCGAAGUCUCUGAGGCUGAGCCAGUGGCGUAAGGGGCGCCGAGCGCUGUCGAGAUGAGGGUUGCGUGCGUAAAGCCGGAGAGCCCUUUUGAGUCUGCGUUGGCGUGGCUGCUGCUUCUUGCUCCAGUCCCUUUGUUCACUGAGUCCAUAUGCCAUGCUCCAGUUGUAUCAUCCCCUUUUCCCUCGACCUCGUUUUCUCACCGGGAAUAUGGGAAGAAAACGCACCCUUACCUCCCCCGAACCCUGUGCGUGGCGAGUGAGCAUUGCUUUUCUUGGCGCCCCUUGGAGCUGUGGCUGCCCUCGCGUGCCUGGCCUCUCCCGGGGCUGAGCCCUUCGGGUUGAGGCCUGGAGCCCCCGGGCGCAGCGCCGGGACACUACCCGGCUCCAGGUCCUCGGCUUCGGCAGCCUUAGGGAACCCAGAAAGUAGUGGGGAGGAGGCGAGACGUGCGCCCGGAUGCCAAAGGGGAGCUUCAUUCAGCUCCUUAUUGGCCCACCCCCUGCAGAGUGAAUGAGAAAGUGAUGAAAGGAAGGGGUUGAUUUUCUUCGAACCGCACAGAAGAAGCUGCUUUUCCCAUAGGAAUGUCCGGCUGGCGGUCACCGAGGAAAACACCCUGUGUGUCAGACUUCCGCGGGUGUUUGGAGGAUUUCGAAUUGCUAGCUCCUGUUUUUUUUUGUUUUUUGUUUGUUUAAGUGCACGUUAAACAUUGUCAGUUGUGUAUUUUCAUUUUAUUUAAGGUUCACCAUAAGAAAUAGGAUUAAGCUUUUCAAAGCCGGCAAGUUGAACUAUUUAUACUUACCAGAGACAAGGCCUUGCUCUGUUACACAGGCUGGAGUGCAGUGGUGUGAUCAUAGCUCACUACAACCUUGAACUCCUGGGCUCAAAGAAUCCUCCGGCCUCAGCCUCCCAAGUAGCUAGGACUACAGGCACAUAUUACCAUGCCUGACUACUUUUAAAACUUUUUUUUUCCUAAGAGAUAGGGUCUAGCUAUGUUGCCCAGGUUAGUCUUGAACUCCUCACCUCAGCCUCCCAAAGUGCUGGGAUUACAGGUGUAAUCCCACCACACCCAGCCCCAUAUCUGUUUUUUAAACUUUUUUUCCAGUGAUCUUUCCUUGACUUUAUACUUUCUCUCUUAAUAGAGCACAGAGUGAGCAGAAGUAAACAAAAUAGACACUAGAAAAACACAGAAAAGAUCAAUGAAACUAAGUGGUGGCUUUUAUAAAAGCUAAAAAAAUCAAUAAACCUUUAACUAGACUAGCAGAGAAAAAGAGAAGACGUGAAUAAAAUCAGAAAUGAGAAAGGAGACAUUACAAUUGAUACAACAGAAAUAGAAAAGAUCAUGAGGCUACUCUGAACAAUUAUAACCAACAAAUUGGAUUAACUAGAAGAAAUGGAUAAUUUCCUUGACACAUAAAACCUACCAAAAUUGAAUUAUGGAGAGAAAGAAAAUCUGAAUUGACCAAUAACAGGUAGGAGACUGAAUCAGUAGUAAAAAGUCUCUCAUCAAAGAAAAGCCCAGGACCACAUGGUUGCACUGGUGAAUGCUACCAAACAUUUAGAGAAUAUUCCUUGUUUGAAUAUUUUUGAUUAGUGAUUCAAACUGCUUACUCAUUAUUGGUCUAUUCAGAUUUUCUAUUUUUCAUGGUUCAGUCUUCCUAGGUUGUAUGUGUCUAGGAACUUAACCAUUUCUUCUAGGUUAUCCAGUUUGCUGGCAUGUAAUUGUUCAUAGUAGUCUCUUAAGAUCCUUUGUGUUUCUGUGGUACCCAUUGUAAUGUCUCCUCUUUCAUUUAUAGUUAUUUGAGUCUCCUGUCUUUCUUAGCCUAGAUAAUGCUUUGUCAAUUUUCGUUUUUUAAAAAAAAUUUAGUUCACUGAUCUUUUCUUUUGUUUUUCUAGUCUCUAUUUCACUUGUGCUCUAAUCUGUAUUAUUUCCUUACCUCUGCAAACUUAGUUUGUUCUUGUUUAUCUAGUUCCUUCAGAUGGAAAGUUAUUUAUUUAAGAUCUUUCUUUUUCUUAAUUAGGUAUUUAUUGCUGUCACUUUCCCUCUUGAACUCCUUUUGCUGCAUCUCAUAAAUGUGUGUGUGUGUGUGUGUGUGUGUGUGUGUGUGUGUGUGUGUGUGUGAUAGAUCUCACUCUUUUGCCCAGGCUUGAGUGCAGUGGUGUGAUCUUGGCUCACUGCAACCUCCGCCUCCCAGGUUCAAGCAAUUCUCCCACCUCAGCCUCCCAAGUAGCUGGGACUACAGGUGCCUGCCAUCACGCCCGGCUACUUUUUGUAUUUUUAGUAGAGAUGGGGGUUUCACCAUGUUGGCCAGGCUAGUCUUGAACUCCUGACCUCGAGUGAUGUGCCAGCCUUGGCCUCCCAAAAUGCUGAGAUUACAGGCAUGAGCCACUGCACCUAGCCACAUCCCAUAAAUUUCGGUAUGUUGUGUUUCCAUUUUCAUUUGUCUUAAGAUAUUUCUGAUUUCUUCUUUGACCCAUUGGUUGUUCAGGAGUGUUAAUUCCACAUACUUGCAAAUUUUCCAAGUUUUCUCCUGUUAAUUAUUUCCAGUUUCAUACCAGUGUGUGAAACCUUUCCUUGAUGUAGUAAUAGAUAUAAAUACACACAUAUGUAUAGGUUUCCAUCUAUGAUUCCUGGCUCAUAACUCCCAGAGUCCUUGUUACAGUCUUUUGUUACAAUGUUGGUAUGUUAGGCCUCUCUGACUUUCUCCAGUGUUCCUUUCACCUGCCCCAAGGCAGGUCUGUAAUCUGAUUGUGGGUCAUAAGACCACCAUUCCAGAGAGGGUCCCAUCCCAUACCCUGGGGGAAGGAAUGCUAACGUCACGAAGCUUCUAUAAAAAGCCAGGAUGACUGGAUUUAGAGAGCUUCUGGAUAGCUGAACACAUGCAAGUUCCUGGAGGGCAGCUCGCCCAGGGAGGGCAUGGGAGUUCUGUGCCCCUUCCCCCAUACCUCACCCUGAGCAUCUCUUCAUCUGUAUCCUUUGUAAUAAAAUAAAUUGGUAAACAUGUUUCCCUGAGUUCUGUGAGUCACUAUAGCCAAUUAAUUGAACCCCAAGAGGGAUUGUGGGAACCCCAACUUGAAGCCAGUUGUCAGAAGUUCCAGAGGCCCCAGACCUGUGACUGGUGUCUAGCAGUGUUGGGAGAGGGAAAGAGGACAAUCUUUGGGGGGCUGAGCCCUUACCCUGUGGGAUCAGACACUAUUUCCAGGUAGAUAGUGUUGG
rnacentral:lncRNA from 1 species